UCCCGUAGGGGGAAAGAUUUUUUGUUAUUAGAUGAGCUAGUUAGAUUAGUCAGUUGGUGAGGUAAUGGCUUCCCAAGGCUAUCAUCUAUAGCUGGUCUGAGAGGGCGAUCAGCCACACUGGAACUGAGAUACGGUCCAGACUCCUACGGGAGGCAGCAGUGGGGAAUAUUGGACAAUGGGCGCAAAGCCUGAUCC
rnacentral:rRNA from 1 species